AUGCCUUAUAUAUAUAUGAAUAAGGAAAAUAAUGAGUCGGGGUGACGCCGGAGUUCUCACUGCUAAUGUGAGAAGAAUUUUUGAGCGACCCGCCUACUUUGCGGGAUGCCUGGGUGAAGCGAU